GUGCUUUGCAAAAAAGAAAAAAAGUCCAGAUAAAGUUUUUAAAGACGUAGUAGUUAGAUUUAGAGCUGGAGAAAAUACAAGGGAGGGAAUUAUAAAAACUCAGUGUAAUCACAUUUUGUCGAAGGGUAGAAUGGUCCAUUUUUUAAUAUCAAAUAACAAAUAAAAUAGAUUAAAUAAAAUACCAUGCUGACUAAUGUAAAUAAAAAAAUCAAAAUCAAAAGUCUUUCUGUAUGGUCAAGUACCGACUGAUCCAGGGCCUGGUACUGGGGGGCCGCUAGAUUAUAGAACAGAAACACGUAGGAAACCAACUACUGUUCUCUUUUAACAGCAGCUGCAGAAGACGUUGAACGUCAACGUCAGUAAUGCCAGGAACUUCCCAGAGAUCAGCUGUGCAAAAACAGCUGAUUACGUCACACCAGGGCAGGCAAACCCUGCAGAUCUAAAUGUCCAUGCGUUUUUUGAGAUUGAGCGAGAGACAUACAGUUAUACAGUUAAAUACAAAAAUACGCUCGACACCGCUACAAACUAUCGGGAGGUUCGUUUCUGUCACGUCUUAAUCACAAGUGGCGUCAGCUGGGUUGCUUUAGCUGUGUCGCGGCAGUACCACGCCGUCAGCGCCGUGGAUUCUAUGGACUCACACGCCAACUACAAAGAACGGGGCAACUGUAGUACCUGAGGGCAGCAGGCAGUCCAAAGGUGACAACUCUUUAUCCAUGGCUGGCAUUCAAAGAAGACACAAAAUCAUUAAAAACAAAAUUCAGGACUUCCGCCUUAGACCAUGUAAACAGUCGAAGAGAGUAAUGUUCAGGGAGAGAAGGGAGCCUCCGACAGGAAGAGGAGGCUUGAUUUACCUGUGGGGACAUCUAGAGGUAAUAAGUGG